rnacentral:rRNA from 1 species
AGAGUUUGAUCAUGGCUCAGAACGAACGCUGGCGGCGUGGAUAAGACAUGCAAGUCGAACGCUGAUUUCAGGGUAGCAAUAUUUUGAAGUCGGAGUGGCGCAAGGGUGCUUAACACGUGGGUUAUCUGCCAUGAGGUCUGGAAUAACUCGCUGAAAGGCGAGCUAAUGUCGGAUGUGAACGAAAGUUCAAAGUUGGGGACCGCAAGGCCUGACGCUUCAUGAUGAGCCCGCGGCCUAUCAGCUAGUUGGUGAGGUAAUGGCUCACCAAGGCUAAGACGGGUAGCUGGUCUGAGAGGACGACCAGCCACACUGGAACUGAGACACGGUCCAGACACCUACGGGUGGCAGCAGUCGAGAAUUUUUCUCAAUGGGCGAAAGCCUGAAGGAGCGACGCCGCGUGGGGGAUGAAUGGCUUCGGCCCGUAAACCCCUGUCAUUUGCGAACAAGUUGAUUCACCUAACACGUGAAUCAUUGAUUGUAGCGGAAGAGGAAGGGACGGCUAACUCUGUGCCAGCAGCCGCGGUAAUACAGAGGUCCCAAGCGUUGUUCGGAUUCACUGGGCGUAAAGGGUGCGUAGGCGGUCGGGUAAGUCUGACGUGAAAUCUCCGGGCCUAACCCGGAAACUGCGUUGGAUACUAUCCGGCUCGAGGAAUGGAGGGGAGACUGGAAUACUUGGUGUAGCAGUGAAAUGCGUAGAUAUCAAGUGGAACACCAGUGGCGAAGGCGAGUCUCUGGACAUUUCCUGACGCUGAGGCACGAAAGCCAGGGGAGCAAACGGGAUUAGAUACCCUAGUAGUCC